rnacentral:rRNA from 1 species
UACGGAGGGGGCUAGCGUUGUUCGGAAUUACUGGGCGUAAAGCGCGCGUAGGCGGACCUGCAAGUCGGGGGUGAAAGCCCGAGGCUCAACCUCGGAACUGCCUUCGAUACUGCGGGUCUCGAGUCCGGGAGAGGUGAGUGGAAUUCCUAGUGUAGAGGUGAAAUUCGUAGAUAUUAGGAAGAACACCAGUGGCGAAGGCGGCUCACUGGCUCGGUACUGACGCUGGAGGCGCGAAACGGAGCGUGGGGAGCAAACAGG